CUACGUGCCAGCAGCCGCGGUAAUACGUAGGGUGCGAGCGUUGUCCGGAAUUAUUGGGCGUAAAGAGCUUGUAGGCGGUUUGUCGCGUCUGCUGUGAAAGGCCGGGGCUUAACCCCGUGUAUUGCAGUGGGUACGGGCAGACUAGAGUGCAGUAGGGGAGACUGGAAUUCCUGGUGUAGCGGUGGAAUGCGCAGAUAUCAGGAGGAACACCGAUGGCGAAGGCAGGUCUCUGGGCUGUAACUGACGCUGAGAAGCGAAAGCAUGGGGAGCGAACAGGAUUAGAUACCCUGGUAGUCCACGCUGUAAACGUUGGGCACUAGGUGUGGGGGCCACCCGUGGUUUCUGCGCCGUAGCUAACGCUUUAAGUGCCCCGCCUGGGGAGUACGGCCGCAAGGCUAAAACUCAAAGGAAUUGACGGGGGCCCGCACAAGCGGCGGAGCAUGCGGAUUAAUUCGAUGCAACGCGAAGAACCUUACCAAGGCUUGACAUGC
rnacentral:rRNA from 1 species